rnacentral:rRNA from 1 species
CCCUUAGAUGUCCUGGGCCGCAUGCGUGCUACACUGAUGCAUACAGCGAGUACUCCCAGCUCCGAGAGGCUGCUGGUAAUCAGCAAUAUGCAUCGUGAUGGGGAUAGAUCUUUGGAAUUAUAGAUCUUGAACGAGGAAUUCCUAGUAAUCGCAGGUCAUCACCCUGCGUUGACUAAGUCCCUGCCCUUUGUACACACCGCCCGUCGCUCCUACCGAUUUCGAGUGAUCCGGUGAAUCAUUCGGACCGCGGCCCCUAGGCAUGCGGAAAGUCUAGUAAACCAUAUCACUUAGAGGAAGGAGAAGUCGUAACA